GACGAACGCUGGCGGCGUGCCUAACACAUGCAAGUCGAGCGAGAGGCUCAUAACAGAUUCCUUCGGGAUGACGAUUUGAGUCUUCUAGCGGCGGAUGGGUGAGUAACGCGUGAGAAACUUGCCUUUCACAAGGGAAUAGCCUCGGGAAACCGGGAUUAAUGCCCCAUGAUACUUGGGAUUCGCAUGAAUCUCUGGUUAAAGCGUAAAGCGGUGAAAGAUGGUCUCGCGUCCCAUUAGCUAGUUGGUGAGAUAAAAGCUCACCAAGGCAACAAUGGGUAGCCGACCUGAGAGGGUGAUCGGCCACACUGGGACUGAGACACGGCCCAGACUCCUACGGGAGGCAGCAGUGGGGAAUCUUGCACAAUGGAGGAAACUCUGAUGCAGCGACGUCGCGUGAAUGAAGAAGGUCUUCGGAUCGUAAAGUUUUGUCCUUGGGGAAGAUAAUGACGGUACCCAAGGAGGAAGCCCUGGCUAACUACGUGCCAGCCGCCGCCGUAAC
rnacentral:rRNA from 2 species